CUUCGGGUUGUAAAGCUCUUUUAGUCGGAAAGAAAGAGUUGCAAUGAAUAAUUGUGAUUUAUGACGGUACCGACAGAAAAAGCACCGGCUAACUACGUGCCAGCAGCCGCGGUAAUACGUAGGGUGCGAGCGUUAAUCGGAAUUACUGGGCGUAAAGGGUGCGCAGGCGGUCUUGCAAGCCAGAUGUGAAAGCCCCGGGCUUAACCUGGGAAUUGCGUUUGAAACUACAAAGCUAGAGUGCAGCAGAGGGGAGUGGAAUUCCAUGUGUAGCAGUGAAAUGCGUAGAGAUGUGGAAGAACACCGAUGGCGAAGGCAGCUCCCUGGGUUGACACUGACGCUCAUGCACGAAAGCGUGGGGAGCAAACAGGAUUAGAUACCCUGGUAGUCCACGCCCUAAACGAUGUCAACUAGUUGUCGGAUCUAAUUAAGGAUUUGGUAACGUAGCUAACGCGUGAAGUUGACCGCCUGGGGAGUACGGUCGCAAGAUUAAAACUCAAAGG
rnacentral:rRNA from 1 species